AUGAAAUGGUACAAAAAAUUCCGGAAAUUUAGUCGGAUGCAAGUGUCCACGCGCCGACCAGUAUUGUACAAGCCAGUCCAAGUGCCCUUGGCAGAUACGGCGCCGGCCUGCAACGCCUCCCACUAUUCCAUAAGUAGAAAGUCUCCGUGCGGAACUGGAGAAAGAGAAAAGAAGAAUGAGAAGCUGGAGACGGAGAAAGCAAUCAUGGGAGGUAAACUUUUCAUCCCAGGUACCACCAUGCCACGCCACACCAACCAAGGUGAGCGCAUGUUGUUAGUUGUGCUAUUGCUAGUUUGCUACAUGUUGGGUCUUUGGAUGGGCAUACAUCCGGAAAAGAAGAGUGACUAUGCGUACCUUGAUUCAUUGUGGUUUGAUAUGUACAUAAUUGGGAAACAUAAAUCAAAAGUCCUUAAAUGCGUAAAAGCUAAGAAAAUAUUCACAAGAAGAUAUGUAUUUGUCCCCAUUGUUUAUUGGGGACAUUGGAGCCUCCUUGUGUUGUGUAAUUUUGGCGAGACAAACUACUUGGGUACUCCAAAGGGGCCACGCAUGCUACUGUUGGAUUCACUUAGAACAACACAACCAAAGAGGUUGCCAUCCGUCAUCAACAGCUUCAUUAUUGAUAUUUUAAAAACAGAAGAGCGGGAAGAGAUAGGGCAGUUCACAAAUCAAGUCCAGCUUGAGUUUCCUGAGGUUCCACGGCAAAGUGGAAAUGAUUGUGGUAUAUAUGUUCUGUAUUUUAUAUACUGUUUUCUCAAAAUCGAAAAACUGGGAGAAGAUUUGAGCCAGCUGUUCUUCAUACCGAAUCUACAUACAUUUCCAGUCGUUCACUAA
rnacentral:rRNA from 1 species